CCUACGGGGGGCUGCAGUGGGGAAUAUUGGACAAUGGGCGAAAGCCUGAUCCAGCCAUGCCGCGUGUGUGAAGAAGGCCUUCGGGUUGUAAAGCACUUUCAGUGGGGAAGAAAGCCUUGGGGCUAAUACCCUCGAGGAAGGACAUCACCCACAGAAGAAGCACCGGCUAACUCCGUCCCAGCAGCCGCGGUAAUACGGAGGGUGCGAGCGUUAAUCGGAAUUACUGGGCGUAAAGCGCGCGUAGGCGGUCUGAUAAGCCGGUUGUGAAAGCCCCGGGCUCAACCUGGGAACGGCAUCCGGAACUGUCAGGCUAGAGUGCAGGAGAGGAAGGUAGAAUUCCCGGUGUAGCGGUGAAAUGCGUAGAGAUCGGGAGGAAUACCAGUGGCGAAGGCGGCCUUCUGGACUGACACUGACGCUGAGGUGCGAAAGCGUGGGUAGCAAACAGGAUUAGAUACCCCUGUAGUC
rnacentral:rRNA from 1 species